rnacentral:rRNA from 1 species
UACAGGGGGUGCUAGCGUUGUUCGGAAUUACUGGGCGUAAAGGGCGCGUAGGCGGUUUCGCAAGUCAGGGGUGAAAUCCCGGAGCUUAACUCCGGAAUUGCUUUUGAUACUGUGAGGCUAGAGUGAGUUAGAGGAUGGCGGAAUUCCUAGUGUAGUGGUGAAAUACGUAGAUAUUCGCAAGAACACCAGUGGCGAAGGCGGCUUACUGGUCCGGUUCUGACGCUGAGGCGCGAAAGCGUGGGGAGCAAACAGG